rnacentral:rRNA from 1 species
UACAGAGGUCUCGAGCGUUGUUCGGAUUCAUUGGGCGUAAAGGGUGCGUAGGCGGCGGGGUAAGUCUGAUGUUGAAAUCCCGGGGCUCAACUCCGGAACUGCAUUGGAUACUGCCUUGCUUGAGAGCUGGAGAGGAAACUGGAAUUUACGGUGUAGCAGUGAAAUGCGUAGAGAUCGUAAGGAAGACCAGUGGCGAAGGCGAGUUUCUGGACAGCUACUGACGCUGAGGCACGAAGGCCAGGGGAGCAAAACGGG